rnacentral:rRNA from 1 species
GUCCAUGCCGUAAACGAUGUCUACUAGCCGUUGGGCCUUUGAGGCUUUAGUGGCGCAGCUAACGCGAUAAGUAGACCGCCUGGGGAGUACGGUCGCAAGACUAAAACUCAAAUGAAUUGACGGGGGCCCGCACAAGCGGUGGAGCAUGUGGUUUAAUUCGAUGCAACGCGAAGAACCUUACCAACGUUUGACAUCCCUAUCGCGGUUACCAGAGAUGGUUUCCUUCAGUUCGGCUGGAUAGGUGACAGGUGCUGCAUGGCUGUCGU